UGGGUAACCUGCCCUUGAAGUAGGGGAUAACACUUGGAAACAGGUGCUAAUACCGUAUAACAACCAAAACCACCUGGUUUUGGUUUAAAAGACGGCUUCGGCUGUCACUUUAGGAUGGACCCGCGGCGUAUUAGCUUGUUGGUAAGGUAACGGCCUACCAAGGCGAUGAUACGUAGCCGACCUGAGAGGGUAAUCGGCCACAUUGGGACUGAGACACGGCCCAAACUCCUACGGGAGGCAGCAGUAGGGAAUCUUCCACAAUGGACGAAAGUCUGAUGGAGCAACGCCGCGUGAGUGAUGAAGGGUUUCGGCUCGUAAAACUCUGUUGUUGGAGAAGAACAGGUGUCAGAGUAACUGUUGACAUCUUGACGGUAUCCAACCAGAAAGCCACGGCUAACUACGUGCCAGCAGCCGCGGUAAUACGUAGGUGGCAAGCGUUGUCCGGAUUUAUUGGGCGUAAAGCGAGCGCAGGCGGUUUUUUAGGUCUGAUGUGAAAGCCUCCGGCUUAACCGGAGAAGUGCAUCGGAAACCGGGAGACUUGAGUGCAGAAGAGGACAGUGGAACUCCAUGUGUAGCGGCGAAAUGCGUAGAUAUAUGGAAGAACACCAGUGGCGAAGGCGGCU
rnacentral:rRNA from 1 species